rnacentral:rRNA from 1 species
UACAGAGGGUGCAAGCGUUAAUCGGAAUUACUGGGCGUAAAGCGUGCGUAGACGGUUACAUAAGUCUGGUGUGAAAGCCCCGGGCUCAACCUGGGAAUUGCAUUCGAGACUGCGUAGCUAGGGUGCGGAAGAGGGAAGCGGAAUUUCCGGUGUAGCGGUGAAAUGCGUAGAUAUCGGAAGGAACACCAGUGGCGAAAGCGGCUUCCUGGUCCAGCACCGACGUUCAGGAACGAAAGCGUGGGGAGCAAACAGG